CCCUUAGAUGUUCUGGGCCGCACGCGCGCUACACUGUUCGACGCAGCGAGUCUUAACCUUGACCGAAAGGUUUGGGUAAUCUUCAGCAAAGUCGAACGUGAUGGGGAUCGAUCAUUGCAAUUAUUGAUCGUGAACGAGGAAUUCCUAGUAAGUGCAAGUCAUCAGCUUGCGCUGAUUACGUCCCUGCCCUUUGUACACACCGCCCGUCGCUACUACCGAUUGAAUGGUUUAGUGAGAUCUCUGGAUUGACGCUGGCUGGGGGGCGACCCUUGGCCAGACUGCUCGAGAAACUGCUCAAACUUGAUCAUUUAGAGGAAGUAAAAGUCGUAACA
rnacentral:rRNA from 1 species